rnacentral:rRNA from 1 species
UAAUUACAACUUUCAACAACGGAUCUCUUGGUUCUGGCAUCGAUGAAGAACGCAGCGAAAUGCGAUAAGUAGUGUGAAUUGCAGAAUUCAGUGAAUCAUCGAAUCUUUGAACGCACAUUGCGCCCUUUGGUAUUCCAAAGGGCAUGCCUGUUCGAGC